rnacentral:rRNA from 1 species
AUUGAACGCUGGCGGCAGGCCUAACACAUGCAAGUCGAGCGGAUGAAGGGAGCUUGCUCCUGGAUUCAGCGGCGGACGGGUGAGUAAUGCCUAGGAAUCUGCCUGGUAGUGGGGGAUAACGUCCGGAAACGGGCGCUAAUACCGCAUACGUCCUGAGGGAGAAAGUGGGGGAUCUUCGGACCUCACGCUAUCAGAUGAGCCUAGGUCGGAUUAGCUAGUUGGUGGGGUAAAGGCCUACCAAGGCGACGAUCCGUAACUGGUCUGAGAGGAUGAUCAGUCACACGGGAACUGAGACACGGUCCAGACUCCUACGGGAGGCAGCAGUGGGAAAUAUUGGACAAUGGGCGAAAGCCUGAUCCAGCCAUGCCGCGUGUGUGAAGAAGGUCUUCGGAUUGUAAAGCACUUUAAGUUGGGAGGAAGGGCAGUAAGUUAAUACCUUGCUGUUUUGACGUUACCAACAGAAUAAGCACCGGCUAACUUCGU